GUCUUAAUUGGGCGUUAAGUUGCAGGGUAUAGACCCGAAACCCGGUGAUCUAGCCAUGGGCAGGUUGAAGGUUGGGUAACACUAACUGGAGGACCGAACCGACUAAUGUUGAAAAAUUAGCGGAUGACCUGUGGCUGGGGGUGAAAGGCCAAUCAAACCGGGAGAUAGCUGGUUCUCCCCGAAAGCUAUUUAGGUAGCGCCUCGUGAAUUCAUCUCCGGGGGUAGAGCACUGUUUCGGCUAGGGGGCCAUCCCGGCUUACCAACCCGAUGCAAACUGCGAAUACCGGAGAAUGUUAUCACGGGAGACACACGGCGGGUGCUAACGUCCGUCGUGAAGAGGGAAACAACCCAGACCGCCAGCUAAGGUCCCAAAGUCAUGGUUAAGUGGGAAACGAUGUGGGAAGGCCCAGACAGCCAGGAUGUUGGCUUAGAAGCAGCCAUCAUUUAAAGAAAGCGUAAUAGCUCACUGGUCGAGUCGGCCUGCGCGGAAGAUGUAACGGGGCUAAACCAUGCACCGAAGCUGCGGCAGCGACACUGUGUGUUGUUGGGUA
rnacentral:rRNA from 2 species